CUCCUGCCUGUGUCCAUGUUUAGGUGCACUAGCCGGGGCAACUGCUCUCCCCUCUCGGCUGCCCUGGUGAGCCAAGCAGCUUGGGGGCUCCGGGCGUGCAGAGCACGGAGAAGGGCCGGGCACCAGCAGGCAGGGUUCUGUGAGCUAAGGUUUGUUAGGGUCCCACCUAUUGCACAGAAGAGGAAAUCAAACCUUCAUGGGGGCGGGCCAGCCUCCCUGCUUCUGUGUGGAGGCCUCUCUACUUGUGGUUCUCCAGCUGUGGGUCUCCUCAGCUACUGAAAUUGCCUUGCUGGGGCCUCUGCUUCCCCUUUCCACACCUGCCCUGAACCUCCAGGGCCUUGAGAGCCACAGGCAGCAACCCUGAGGUGCUGGCCACGCUCUGUUCCACGGGGUGAGGCUAUGACACUCUGCUUUUCGGGCUAGACUCCACAGUCUGAGCCUCAGGUUCAAAGUUCUCUGUGUGUGCACCACCCUCACCUUGUAGACAUACCCCUGCCCCCUGCGGCAUUUCAGUGACGUGCUCCGGGAGCAGCUCGACUCUGCCGGUUUUUGCCACAGAAGGAUUACUUCAGGCGAGUUCCAAAGAGCAGGCUGACAAGGACUGACAAAGGACCUGGGCCAGUUCAAGGCUUGGCUCUGCCCUUGACUUUUACACAGGUGAGCACAUCUCGAUCUUCCUAGAGACUCAGUUUACCUGUCUGUAAGAUGGACCCAUAGGACGCGGCUUCCCUGGGUCUUGAGGAACUGACUCCAGCUUGUGGACCUUGCUGAGGUACCCUACUGAGAUUCAGCCCAGAAGGAGCAUCUGCAGCCAGGGUGGCCUGCUACCAUGCCCAAACAGGUGCCCCAGAACCCGCACUGUGCGUGGUGCUAAGCGCGGGCGACUGAAUCAGGGGACAGCUCCCCCCUCCCACCUCUGCGAGAACAGCCUCAGAAGGGCUGGCAUGUACCGGCUAGGGCGGAGGGGCUGAGCUCUAGACUCCAGAGCGGUCCCUCCUCCGCACGGUGAGUCUGAUGGUGGGCCUAGCGCGGGGUCACAAGCCUGGCACACUGCUGGGUGGCUCGGGCCACUUCAGGCUCCUUUGGUACAAGCCGCUCCCCAUGUCCUCUCUGCUUUGCACCUCAGUGUGCCCCGAUCUCUUUUGCUUACCCACUGGCCCCUGAGGGCUCUGGGGAUUGAUGGUGGCUGGCCUGGAGAUACUCCCUUUCCAAAACCUCCUUUCUCAUCUGACUAAGGUGGGGCCUGGGGCUGGAGAGUGUACCCCAACAACCUCAGGGAAGUGCUCUGUGAAGACAGAGUGAAGACACUAGUCCCUGCCGCAGCCCCUCUGUUCCCGCUGGGCCUGGAAACUCCAGGUCUGCUGAGCUGUGGUCAGGUGUCCCCACCCGUGAGAGCUCUGUGUGCUGACAGGCAUUGUGUGAGGUGAGGCCCCGAGGCCCCUGGAACUUGACGCACUGCAGCCCUAGGCAGGGGUCCCUGCCCCGGAGCUUCCAAAGCAGAUUCUGCCCACCUCAACUUGCCUUAGGUGGCCAAAGGGGGAGGGGGCUCAGGACAACGAGGUGGGUGGUGGGAAAACUGGGGCGGAUGCUCUCUGCGCAGCACGAGGGUCUAUCUGGCUCACGUGGCCACACUCUAUCCACCAGCCGCCAUGGACCAGAGUGGUGCUGGGGUCGCAGGCCCAAGCUGCUUCGUAACUGUGGUGCAGAGGGCAGUUCCUUCCCAACUCCUGAAAAGCAGAUGAGCCCUUUAUUGCUCUAUUAUAACAUGGAGCCAGAUGGUCUUUUGGGAGCUACCCUCCUCAAUCCCCCCGCCGCCGCCCUCGUUCAUUCAGAAGCAGGCCCCGGCACUAAUGCCGCGGGCUGGGCACGCUUCCCGCGCGGCCGCUGCCACCACAGUGUGGGAACCGUGGUCUAGAGGAGUGCGGUGACACAGCCAGGGAGGCAGGCCGUCAGGCCUAGGCCAGGGGCUGUUGUCCCACCCUCGGCUCAGUCUCGAGACAAGAUAUGGAACCCUCCCCAGAUGCCAUCCUUGUCUCUCCCCAGCUAUGCAGCCUGUUGCACCACGUUUAACACACACUUCUGCAAAGUGGGGGUAACGGUGGGUUCCCUCAGUUGGUUUAGGGGGUCAGAGGCAGGUAGCUGGCAGGUGUGGAGUAUCAGGGCCCCAUUGCCCUCCAAGAAUGGUAUUUGCAUUCUGAAACAACCAACAUCCAAAUAAGAAUGUUCUGUCAUCUGACACAAGGCGUGAGGCUGAAACAUCGGGGUAGCUGAUGAAAUCUUGUGUGCGGCCAUCCCUCACCUGUGCCUACCUUGAUGUAGACCAGAGGAGGGUCAGGGAGGCACCACCCACCCAGACUGGAGUAGUCCUGCAGCCUUUACAGGAAACAGCUGUCCUCACUCCCACUCCAAGGACUUUUUACUUUUUCACUCUCAUGAGGUUGGCAUGUAGACUUCCACUGGAGGACCAGCUGCUUUUUACCAAGUGGCAUUGCCUCCAGAGGUCCAGCACCGUCAUACCCAUUGGACAGGUAAACAAACUAAGGCACAGAGGAGUUCAAGGCCAAACUGCCAGAUGGUGGCUCAGGUCGGAGUGGAAGGACUGGGGUUGAGGCAGGGAGGGGAAGCCUUGGGCCUUGGCAGAAAGGACACAGGAGGUUCCUGAAGCUCUUCUCCUAGGGUCUGGGGUUGCCCCCAGUCCUGGUCUCCAGCAUUAGAAGUUCCUGUUGCCCAUCUCCAGCUAGAGGAUGGAGCCCCUCAGAUUUUCAGGGUCACAGGGACCGCCUGAGGAAACAUGGGCCACCCUGCUUCCAGAGGGGAACAUAAUCCAGAGUGAGUAGCAGCUGUAAAGAAGCAAGAAGGCCUUUGGGCGAUGACAGCUGAUCACACCCAAACAUAGGCAGAAGACCAAGGGCCUGUCAGGGAUUGGGGGCCUGGGCAAUGCCUGGGAUGGCCUCCAUAGCAGAGCAAUUCCCCAGAAUACUGUAGAAUGGGGACUCUAGGGCCCUGAUGGGAGGUCCCUUCUGCCACCUUGGCUAACAGAAUAUUGACACGCACGCCACCUCCACCACCCUGCUGGUAACAUGUGAGAUGGGCAGGACCCAAACUCAGUCAGACUGUGUCUCUGGGAGACUCUGCCAUCUAGGGAGAUACAGAUAGGACUCAGCCAUAACCCAGUGAAUACUUCAUCCUGACCCAUUAAUAUACCUCUCUUUCUUUCCUCCAUUUUGUUUGUUUGUUUGUAUUUUUUUUUCAAGACAGAAUUUCUCUAUGUAGCCCAGUUGUCCUGGAACUUGCUCUGUAGACCAGGCUGGCCUCCAAAUGCAGACAUUCCCUGCCUCUGCCUCCUGAGGACUGGGGUUAAAGGUGUAUGCCACCUGGCUCCUAGUCCCUCUCUUGAUGUCCAACUCCAACUCCCUCUUGGGACCUGAGGUGCUCCGAGGCUCCUAGCUCAUGUUCUCAUUGGGCAGCCAGGACCAGCUCUGAGAGACAGGGCUUCUGGGCCAGUGUGAGGCUCUCCAUAACCAGCAUAGAGGACCCACACCCGAGGCCCUCUGUCCAGCACCCCCGACAGCACUGGGUGAGUGGGGUCUCCUGGGCCCUGGAGCACAGAUGCAGACGACGGUAGAGGGAGCUUUGCCAGCUCCUCCAGCUUCUGGCACAGGAGGAUGCAGGGCAGACUGGCCAUCUCCCACAGAGCAGUACCCACUUACUUGCUUUGAUAAGUGGCCCCUAGGUGCCAGGUUCUGGAGCUUGGUCUCAGAGUGUGGAGUGGACAGAUGAAGGGACUGGGCAAAAGAGGGGCCUUGAGCUGCUGCUCAGAUCUGGAGGGCCUCCUCCCUUAGCCUCCUAGCCCGCUCCCAGGACUGAGACUCCACCUGGAAAUGCCCAAGUUGGUCCCAGAGUUCCCUGAUCUUUCCACAGGUGUCCUGAGCAGACGUUGGCUUCUCCACCCUAAAGUCAUCUCCUCAGGAGAGCAAGCAGCCCUGCCAGCCCCGCUUCCUGCUUCUCUGCAGGCGAUGGGGAGAAGGGAGACAGACAUUUCUGUAUUGCGCGGAACCCCGUAUGUCUACCUGAGGCCACACGGUGGGGCCGAAGAGUGCCAAGGCAGCACCUAGGGCUGGUUCUGUCUUCUUUCCAGGGUGCAGCCAACAUACAUACACACACAGAGAGAGAGAGAGAGAGAGAGAGAGGACAGACAGACAGAAAGGCAGAGAGGAGAGAGAUAGAGACAGAGAGAACAUGAAUGAAUGAAUGAUUUGGGCGGGAGGCCCGCUCCGGGUGGGUUCCCACACCCUACUCCUGCCUUAGACAUUCAUCCCCCACAAAAGGCGCGUGCGCGGCAACAAACUCGUUCGCCAUGGGGCCGCCUGGGCUUUGUGAGCCAAGAUCCUGGCCCCAGAGGCCAUCUGGGAGCAGUCCUCAGGGCAGGCAGGGCGGGGGCUCCCCCACUAGGUGGCCUUUGAGGCCCCGGCCAGCGGCAACAGCUCCCUGGCAACCCGGUGGAUGUCAGCACAUCUGGCCUUGAGUGCCCUGGAGUUCUCACAGCUCUUGUGUCACACUAAAAGUGUGAGGAGGGUACUCUAAAGGAGGCUUGCCUCCUGCCCUACCCAUGAGUCUAAAAGGGCUGUGAGCACAGGGUUCAAAGCCAUGAGCUGCCACUAUAGAGGUUGAACUGCCUGGGCCUCAGUUUUCUCAUCUGUGGAAUGGGGCUGAUGGUGGGCCCAGCCCAGCUGUGUUCUCAGCCUGGUAGACAGAGGAGACUUUGGAGUGGCCUUGGAAUCAGGGCUGCUGGAGAGCUAUUUUCCUGAGCCUGGCACUGCCAGGAUCUUCGUUUGGUUUCCCAGUGGUUGACACAUACUUGUGCUCUAGGCUGGGAUGUAGUUGGUGAGUCAGGGAGAGUCCAGAGUGACAGGCGACAGCCACAUGUGAUCCUCUCCAGGCCCCAACUCUGAGCGAGGUGGGGGUCGUUCUGCUCAGCUUGUGUGCUGUCUGUGUUAACAAAGUGUACCUCUCCCUGCCGAGCCUCUGGCUAUGGGCCUGCCUAGGGUGGAGAGAAGAGAGAGCUAGGACUCAGGUGGGUGCAAGGCCUCUGUUGCCCCUGGCAGCUCUGCCUGAGCAGUGAGCGUUUCCAAGCCUGGGCAGCUGGGUGGGGGCGGGGGGGUACAGUGCUCAGGGGUCUUCCCUCUUAAGAACAUUUCCUGGCCAAAGGGCUUCUGGGGCCAGAGCCUGGUGGACAGACCCUCAUGGGGGUGUCCCUGCCCCCAACCUUCCUGGGGAGGGUCCUUGAGAGGCUGUCCUGCUGGCUAGAGAUAAUCCCAGCUUUUGAGAGGCUGUGAGAGGCUGGCCCGGGGACUUUCCCACAGCCCCACAUAAAGGGCUGGGCGCCAGCUGCUCUCCCACAAAAGACGCCCGGCCAUUCAGGGCCUCCAGGCAGGGGGGGUGGGCGAAGCGGCUACCACAGCCUACCUGGCCACCCUCACGCCAGACCAAGUGCACGGGGAGGCUCCUCCCUGUUGACCGGUGGGAGUCCAGCAUGUCCCCAGAGCUGGGGACCUCACCACAGCUUUAUAGAUCUACACAGGUCGCCACCCCUCCCUUUUGCCCAAGACUGGCACCGUUCCUGGGCUCCAUCACUCAUCCCCAAAAGGACUCCCAGGAAGGCCCUGCACACUCUUGCCGUUCUGCCUGGCACAGUGCCUCCGCUCUUCCCCUGCCAUCACUGGGCUGCCCUGUCUCUCUCCUCCUGCCACACGUGCUGCCUAGAGCCACACGGGCUGGCACGCUUCCUGCUCCCUGGCUUGCCCACACUGUUCUCACCCCAGCAUUCACUUCCUCCCUCUCAGCAACCCAAGCUGCCACUCAGGGUGAGGGACAGGCGCAUGGUGCUCCUGUCUGGACAAGGCCUUCUCUGCACACCUCAGGCGCCUUGUCUGGUAGGAGGAGCAUAAACACCCCAUCUCUGGGCAAGGGGAAGAGACUCUCAACUUUACCUGCUCAGAAAUACCACGCUGGGGAUAGCGGUGCACUUGUAAUCUCAGCAUUCAGGAGGCAGGAAUAUCGGGAGUUUAACGUUAUCCUCGGCAACAGUGAGUCCAAAGCCAGCUUGGCCCACGUGACCAAAAACCAAAAGCAAAAACCAGACAAAAAAGAAAGGGAGCAAUUCCCCAAGUCACAGAGAUGCUGAGGGGAGGAGAGAGGGCCCCCCUUCCUCUAGGAGCUAGCUACCUGACCGACACUAGGGCGACUUUUUGCCGUAAGGACUAGCCGGGCAUAGGGAUGUGUGGUUUCCUGAAGAAAGUGACACUGGAGUGUUGAGCAUGUGGUGGAGGAGGCUAGGGACCUCUGGGAAUGAUGGUUUUGACAUUUCUAGGGCUAUUCUUGAAGUCAUUAAAAAACUGAUUAAUCAGCCAGGUGUGGUGGCACAUACCUAUAAUCUCAGUAGAGGCAGGCGGAUCUCUGUGAGUUUGAGGCCAGCCUGGUCUACAAAGUGAGUCCAGGACAGCCAAGGCUACACAGAGGAACCCUGUCUCAAAAAACCAAAAAAAAAAAAAAAAAAAAAAAAACACAAAAAUAUUAAGUGUGUAUGUCCAUGUCCUCAGACAAGUUGUAUGGCCAGAUGGACAACAAGAGGGCACUUGUCCUUUGACUUUCCAAUAGGAAGCUGGGGCCAGGGCAGGAGCUGCUGGUGACACUGAUCUCUGAUAUCCUACUGCACUGUGCAAGGCAGUCACAACUUUCUCGGGGGCGUGGAAGGUAAGAUCCGAGGGCAAGAAGCCCAGUAGCGGGACCUCCGUGCAGCCCAGGACCUUGUCUCUGCUGAUCUCCACCCCUCACUGCUGAUGGAGGAUGGCCCGGCCCCUCUGUGGGAAGGUUCAUGGUCUGUUGUCCAAUCCCAGAUCCCCAUUGGCUCCUGGGCGUGGGAAAGCACGAGAGCCCACACCAACCCCUCACCCCCCUGCCGAAAAGGCACAGUGGCCUCCCGUUCUGGGUGUUUGCGGAGUCUCAGGCUCCAGGAGUGAAGCGUGAGCCUGGUGCUUGCAGUGCGGGUCUAUCAGGGACCUGGAGGCAGCCUGGGAUCUCCUGAUGGAGAUUUGUGGGGUGGGGCGGGCAGUAGCCCUGCCAUAGCCGCAGACAGAGAGGCUGCAUCCCUGGACGCCUCAGCCUGGUGGGGGCAGUGGCUGGCUGUGGCCCCCGCCUUGGUUCACCCGCCUCUGGCCCCCUCCUCUUACAUAGAAGAGGGGAUUGGGAAAGGAAAGGUCAGAGCCACCCUGGCUUUCUUUCUGCACCAAGUGCUAACCCCGGUGACAGGAGAUCCCUGCUGUCACCCAAGUGCAGUGUGCUGGAGCAGCCCCUGUCCACAGGGGACAGGAUGGAGACCUGGUGGCUGUGGCACCAGGCCCUUGGAAUCAGAGGUGAAGGCCAAGGUUGCUGCCGUGGCUCUUUCUGUGGCUGGACUCUGUGUUCUGCUGUCCAGACUGGCUCCAGCGCAGGCCUGCACCGUGGUCAGGCUGCUGUUCUAGCAGGAACGUCUGGCUGUUGACCCCCCUGGAUCUGAUCUCUGACCCUUCAGUACUGGAAUUACAGACGCGUGCCACCAUGCCCAGCGAGAACUAGUGAGCCAAACUCAGAUCCAGCCGGUUCUCCACUCUCUGUCUCUCCGGCCCUGCUUCUGGUACCUGUAAAUGUUCGUGCACAUACCUGUGUUUAGCUUGGUUAUGUGCCUGGGAAUUGACAUGCUGGUCACAUGAAUGGCGUGAGUCUAACUGUAAGAUUUCACCACACCGUUGUCCAAAGUGGCUGCACCAUCUCCCACCUCACCAAGAGUCCCUGUGAGUUCUCAUUGCCCCACAUCCUCAGGGCGCUGGGUUGGGUCAGGGUCUUCUGACGGUGGGAAGGCCCCUGUGGUGGUCUUAACCUGAAUUUUCCUAAUCUCUAACUGCGCGGAGUCUCUUGUAUUCUUCAGUAAAGUUGGAUUUUAAAAAAGA